rnacentral:rRNA from 1 species
UGGGGAAUAUUGCACAAUGGGCGCAAGCCUGAUGCAGCCAUGCCGCGUGUAUGAAGAAGGCCUUCGGGUUGUAAAGUACUUUCAGCGGGGAGGAAGGGAGUAAAGUUAAUACCUUUGCUCAUUGACGUUACCCGCAGAAGAAGCACCGGCUAACUCCGUGCCAGCAGCCGCGGUAAUACGGAGGGUGCAAGCGUUAAUCGGAAUUAUUGGGCGUAAAGCGCACGCAGGCGGUGUGUUAAGUCAGAUGUGAAAUCCCCGGGCUCAACCUGGGAACUGCAUCUGAUACUGGCAAGCUGGAGUCUCGUAGAGGGGGGUAGAAUUCCAGGUGUAGCGGUGAAAUGCGUAGAGAUCUGGAAGAAUACCGGUGGCGAAGGCGGCCCCCUGGACGAAGACUGACGCUCAGGUGCGAAAGCGUGGGGAGCAAACAGG